GAGGAGGAGGGGAAGCAGUAGGAGGAGGCAUAGGGAGAGGAGGAAAGGGUGGAGAUGUGGGAGGAGGAAGAGGAGGAGGAGCCACCAGCAGUAGAGAAGAGUGGAAGGUGGGUGGGUACUGCGCUGAGCACAGAAGUCUGAGACCGAGGCUGCCACAGCCUAAGCAGGUCAGGGAGAGAAAGAAGGCUUGAGGCCGCAGCUGAAGUGGGGCAGGAAAGAGAAGGGAGCUGAGGCCCAGGCGGAGUGUGCACAGCUGCCUUUGAAGAUGGAGGUCAUGGGUGGACAGGCCCCUGCUGGGCCUGGAGGUCUGGCAGCCGUAAACAUGGGGCCUGAAGCCCUCAUCCUAGCUGUGGCAGUGGCUGGAGCUGGAGGGGGGCCGUCGCCUACGACCGGGAGCGGAUCGAGCCCAGAGACCGAUACAUGGACAUGGACAUGGACUUGGAAGGGGGAGUGGUCAGGGCAGGAUAUAGCACUAGGCCCCACGUUGGCCGCUCUGUUGCUGCUGUACGCUGCAUUGUGGGCUAGUGUGGUAGAGCUGAGAUGGAGGGUCCUGGAUCUGGCUCAGCAGCAGGAAGAAGAACCAGACCAAGAGGCAGGGGCAGAGGAAAGGGCAGAGACAAGGGCAGAGGCAGAGGCAGGGGCGGAAGCAAAGCAGGUGCAGGAGCGGGAGACUGAGCAGGAGUCGGAGCUCAAACAUGAGCGAGAUGCAGCGCCCGAGAUAGAGACGGAGUCAGAGGCCGAGGCAGAGGCAGAGGUAGAGGCAGAAGCAGAGCUGGAGGAGCUCCGGGAGCCUUCGGGUGCUUGGGGCCCAAAGGAGCCUGCAUCUUUAUGUGAGAUCGGGCCCUGGACCAAUGUGCCUGUACUGGGGAUGUGUGCCCGCCCUGUAAGACUAGCGGCUGUAGUGGUUGCUGUCCGCUCGGGUCUGGUGCUGAAAAUGACGACAUUGGACGCAAGAGCAAGGGGUUUGCUGCUGUCCCGCUCACAGCAAGUGAUCCUGGAUGAGGGCAGCUUUCGUUCCCUGCGUCCUUUGAGAGUGGAUUUGGUCCGCAUGAACAGGUGCUGGAACAAUGGACGCUUCUUCCCUCGGCUAGGAGCCUUCCAAGAGCACCUGCUUAACCUACUGGAGUGGGAGGCCCGCCAAGCAAGGACCAACAUUCUCGUCUUCCUGGACAACAAGGCAAUGAAGAAAAUCUACCAUCGGGUUUUCAAUGCCUACAAAAUGGUUGGCGAUCCCAAAGUGAGUGGCCUGUCAUUCCAGCAGCUCCUUGAGAUCUUGCUGUCUUGUAAGAAGAUCACAACUACCUAUAUUAAGAGGAGCAGCAUUGCUGUCAUGGUGGAGGGAGAAGAUGCACAUCUGCUCAACUUUGGUGCUGGGUAUGGUGUGAAUCUUGGACAGAGGGGCCUGGAAUCAAGUGAAGAAUUAGCCACCAACAUGGCAACAUCUGGGGAUCCCAGAGAUGUUUUCCAACCUUUGUCAGCUAACACUAAAGAGUCCAGAGAAAUUGUUGAUGAUUCUAAAAGUGAUGGGUUGUUUGGUGUUCUCUUUGAGUGAAAAGGAGCAAGGAGAACAGGUCCCUAUCUAGCCCUUGAUUCCUGAAAAAUCCUCCAAAGUUAGUCAAAAUACUACUAGUCAGCAAAUGGUGUCAUCAUGAUUCCAUGCCUUUAAAUGAAGGCCAAAAGAAUAAUGGGUUAUAAAAUAUAAGAUUCCAAUGAGCUGUCAAGUUCAUACACUGGAAGAACACACACACACACACACACACACACACACACACACACACUCCACUGUUGUAUUUUAUUUAGUAUUCACUGGGUUACCUAGGAUAAAAAAAAAUGUAGCAUUUGAUCCCUUAGGAUUUUCAUAAGAAAGAGUGAGGUACUAGGGUCUGUCCCCCCCAUACUUGUAAAGGUAUCAUCUUAGAAUGUCAGAGUAGGAAGGGACCUUAGAACAUAGAAAACAGAAUGUGAGAAUUGGGAGGGAACUCAGAACAUAGUACACAGGAUGCCACAUUUUGGAGGGAUCUUAGAGAGGUUCCAUUAGAGGAGUCUGCAGUUAGCUUUAGUGUCUCUCUUCAAAUAUGUGCCAAAAUAAAGAAUGGAGACUGUACUUGUAUGUCA
ensembl:lncRNA